UACAGAGGGGGCAAGCGUUGUUCGGAAUUACUGGGCGUAAAGGGCGCGUAGGCGGCCUGUUAAGUCGAACGUGAAAUCCCCGGGCUCAACCCGGGAACUGCGUCCGAUACUGGCAGGCUUGAAUCCGGGAGAGGGAUGUGGAAUUCCAGGUGUAGCGGUGAAAUGCGUAGAUAUCAGGAGGAACACCGGUGGCGAAGGCGGGUCUCUGGGCCGAAACUGACGCUGAGGAGCGAAAGCGUGGGGAGCAAACAGG
rnacentral:rRNA from 1 species